GUCUACAGCCAUGCUACCCUGAACAAGCCCGAUCCUGUCUGAUCACAGAAGCUAAGCAAAGUCGGGCCUGGUUACUACUUGAAUGUGAAGCCACCUAGGAAUACCAGGUGCUGUAGGAG
rnacentral:rRNA from 1 species